rnacentral:tRNA from 1 species
AAGUGCCGAUGGUUUAGUGGAAAAUCCAUCGUUGCGAUCGAUGGGUUCCCGAGUCGAGUCCCAGUCGGCGUA